rnacentral:rRNA from 1 species
CCCCUAGAUGUUCUGGGCCGCACGCGCGCUACACUGAACAGUUCAACAAGUCUUAACCUUGGCCGAUAGGUCUGGGUAAUCUUUGAACGCUGUUCGUGAUUGGGAUAGACCUUUGCAAUUAUGGGUCUUCAACGAGGAAUUCCUAGUAAACGCAAGUCAUCAGCUUGCAUUGAUUACGUCCCUGCCCUUUGUACACACCGCCCGUCGCACCUACCGAUUGGAUGGUCCGGUGAAAUCUCGGGACGGCGGCUUGGUCGCUUGCGUCCGACUGCUGAAACUUGAUUAAACCAUAUCAUUUAGAGGAAGGUGAAGUCGUAACA